rnacentral:lncRNA from 13 species
AGCUGUGUCGCCACUUUUUCUUUUUUUUUAGAUGCAGUCUGGCGCUGUUUCCCAGACUGGAGUGAGUGCAAUGGCGUUAUCUUAGCUCACUGCAACCUCUGACUCCCAGCUUCAAGCAAUUCUCCUGCCUCAGCCUCUCGAGUAGCUGGGAUUACAGGCCAUAAGAAACUGGGUGAAAUAUGUCACAGGAUCAUCUAUAACAAACAGAAUCAAGAGGAGUAUCAUCAAUUGGAAAGCUAGCAGCUGGCUGCCUCUUCAUCUAGAAAACUCAGCCUGCCCUGUCACAGGAAAAAUGGCUCCAAGCUGCCUUGUGUAUUCCAGGUAAGAGACAAUCUAGGCUGCCAGUGAGUAUGGAGAAGUCAGGAGGGAUAUUGGGCCCGGGGUCUCGAACUAUGAGCUACUCUGGAAAAUCCUCAGAGGCCCAGCAGCUUAAAGGCAG